ACGCUGGCGGCAGGCCUAACACAUGCAAGUCGAGCGGUAGAGAGAAGCUUGCUUCUCUUGAGAGCGGCGGACGGGUGAGUAAUGCCUAGGAAUCUGCCUGGUAGUGGGGGAUAACGUUCGGAAACGGACGCUAAUACCGCAUACGUCCUACGGGAGAAAGCAGGGGACCUUCGGGCCUUGCGCUAUCAGAUGAGCCUAGGUCGGAUUAGCUAGUUGGUGGGGUAAUGGCUCACCAAGGCGACGAUCCGUAACUGGUCUGAGAGGAUGAUCAGUCACACUGGAACUGAGACACGGUCCAGACUCCUACGGGAGGCAGCAGUGGGGAAUAUUGGACAAUGGGCGAAAGCCUGAUCCAGCCAUGCCGCGUGUGUGAAGAAGGUCUUCGGAUUGUAAAGCACUUUAAGUUGGGAGGAAGGGCAGUAAAUUAAUACUUUGCUGUUUUGACGUUACCGACAGAAUAAGCACCGGCUAACUCUGUGCCAGCAGCCGCGGUAAUACAGAGGGUGCAAGCGUUAAUCGGAAUUACUGGGCGUAAAGCGCGCGUAGGUGGUUCGUUAAGUUGGAUGUGAAAUCCCCGGGCUCAACCUGGGAACUGCAUUCAAAACUGACGAGCUAGAGUAUGGUAGAGGGUGGUGGAAUUUCCUGUGUAGCGGUGAAAUGCGUAGAUAUAGGAAGGAACACCAGUGGCGAAGGCGACCACCUGGACUGAUACUGACACUGAGGUGCGAAAGCGUGGGGAGCAAACAGGAUUA
rnacentral:rRNA from 1 species